ACGCUCGACACCUACGGGUGGCAGCAGUGGGGAAUAUUGCACAAUGGGGGAAACCCUGAUGCAGCGACGCCGCGUGAGCGAAGAAGUAUUUCGGUAUGUAAAGCUCUAUCAGCAGGGAAGAUAAUGACGGUACCUGACUAAGAAGCUCCGGCUAAAUACGUGCCAACAGCCGCGGUAAUCUGAGCGGGCUGGCAAGGC
rnacentral:rRNA from 1 species